AAGUCGUAACAAGGUUUCCGUAGGUGAACCUGCGGAAGGAUCAUUAUUACGUAUCCACGUAUCAAACCAAAUCGUGAACUGUUUCCCGUCUGAUGAGGAUUUCUGCGAGUGUUUGAACAUUUAUUAAAUGCAUGGUGAGGACUCCUAGUCGCAAGACUGGUUUCUUCGAAAUGGCACUCGGUCCUGGUUGCCCUCUCAGGGCUUCAGCCAGCUCAUUAGAUGUGGUUGAAUUUCAAUCACUAUGCUAAAACUAUUAACCCCUUGUAAAACACUUGAACUAAAUUACGGAGACAAGACCCUUAACCAGGAAACUAUCUCUGAUAAACCGAAACUUAAGAAACAACUCUUAACAACGGAUAUCUUGGUUCUC
rnacentral:misc_RNA from 1 species